rnacentral:rRNA from 1 species
CACGUAGGGCGCAAGCGUUGUCCGGAAUUAUUGGGCGUAAAGAGCUCGUAGGUGGUUUGCUGCGUCCGCUGUGAAAACCCAAGGCUUAACCUUGGGCUUGCAGUGGAUACGGGCAGACUAGAGGUAGGUAGGGGAGAAUGGAAUUCCCGGUGUAGCGGUGAAAUGCGCAGAUAUCGGGAGGAACACCGGUGGCGAAGGCGGUUCUCUGGGCCUGUACUGACGCUGAGGAGCGAAAGCGUGGGGAGCGAACAGG